ACAAGUAAUUUGAAAUGAUUUCAAUAGAAUAAAGAGAAAAAAUUUGCAACUUUAAUUUGAUUUUAUUCAAUAAAUAAACAAGUGGAAUUGGAAUGUUUGAAUAAUAAAGAAGUUUUGAAAGUAUGAGUGUGCUCUUAAAAAAGUUCUAAGUUGGCGGGCUUUUGACUUGAUUGUUCGGACUGCUGCCAUCUAAAAAAAAAGCGCCAAAAUAUAAACAAUAAACCAAUUUUUUCAGAUAAAAAAUGGAGCACCAAACGAAAAAUAGAAUCAGUUUUGAAUCUACUGAUUUAUCAGCCAUGUCUGGAUGGACAGGUCAGGAAAAAAAAUUCGAUCAUGUAACAGUAAGCAUUUUUCCUUACAAGGAAGUGGAAAACAGGUUUUCUCAAGAAGUGGCAGAAAAAUUAGCGAGUUCCCUAGUACCAGGUAGACAAUAGAGUGAAUAGAACAACGGUGUCUCGGAGAUUUGCGUUACUUGUGCACUUCAGCAAGUUCUACAAUCUACAUUGAACAUAGUCCCACACCUGGUACUGUCCCACCUGAUCAUUGAGCCAGUGGGGGGCAUUCUUGGUAUCUGGUGGGGCUCAAGAGCAGUCGUCAGUGAGCUCAGGUACGUCGAGCGAGAGCGAGCUGUUGAAAAAUCUCAUGAGAAGGCCAAAAAUGGCGUUUCAACGAUAGAAUCAUCGACAAGUGUCGCAAUUUAUCUCUUGGAUAGAUUGUUUUCAUCUUCAGGAAAGUAAUCAAAUAAAAGAAAAUGCAAUCGGUGGAACAACUACGUCCUGAAGAACUGGUGGGUCUUGUGGCCCGUUCAGCAGAAGGUACAGCGGCCAAGGGCAUGCCGAUCAAGGGCAACGAAGAUCUUUGGGUUGAAAUUCAAGCAAAUACCUUCAGGAAUUGGGUCAAUGAGCAUUUGAAACACGCAGGAGAUGCUGGUGGUGGACCGGUUUUGGACUUGGCUGAAGAUUUUCGCGAUGGAACUAGAUUGUGCGCUUUGGUUGAAGUCCUGACAAAAAGAAGACUACCUCGAUGGAAUCCUAGACCUGCUAAUCAACAUCAUCACCUCGAGAACGUGUCUACCGCUUUGCAAGCUAUCGAAGCUGAUGGAGUCAAGCUUGUGAAUAUUGGUAAUGUUGACAUUGUUAAUGGCAACCUGAAACUAAUCCUUGGAUUAAUAUGGUCUCUCAUUGUCAGAUAUCAAAUCGGAAAAUCUAAAUUCCCUCCAAGAAAACUCAUGCUCGCUUGGCUCAAGGCAGUUUUGCCAGAAUGCAGAGUUAACAAUUUUACUACUGAUUGGAAUUCAGGAGUUUAUCUUAGUGCCCUCUUGGAUUAUUGUAAACCAGGACUCUUUCCUCAUUGGAGGCAACUGGAUCGUACUGACAGUGUUUACAACUGUCGGAAAGCCAUGGAAAUAGCAAAAAGAGAAUUCGAUAUUCCAGUUGUUUUAGAACCUGAAUAUUUGGCAUCUCCAUACCUCGAUGAACUCUCAGGAAUGACCUAUCUAUCUUACUUUAUGAAAGAAGGUUCUCCUGGUUUUCAUGCAACUCUACGAUGGGUCAAUUCUCAGUUAACUCAUGCACCUGUACGAAAUUUUACGACUGAUUGGAAUGAUGGUCGAGCUCUCUGUUCAAUUGUAAGGAACCUCGGUGGUCCAGCACCAACUUACGAUAAAAUUAAUACUGAUCCCAGCUAUUGGGAAUCAAAUCUCCAACAAGGAAUUGAUGGAGCGAAAAAAUUAGGAGUAGAACCUAUAUUAAAGGCUAAAGACAUGGCUGAUCAAAAUGUUGAACAUCUUGGAGUCAUGGCUUAUGCUGCUCACUUUCAGUGGGUUAAACCUCGUCCCCAAGCGAGCGAACAACUUGCGGUACAUGUGGAGACUACAUCUGCAAGAGUUCAACAACCGGCAACAUUCAGACUUGAGAUGUUGUCGAAAGAAGUACAUCCGCGGGAAGUAAGAGGAGAAAUUAUCAGUCCCAGUGGUAAAGUCGAAUGUAGACUCACCUGGAAUGGCACUCAUGGCAAAGGAACAUUCGUGCCGACUGAAGUAGGAAUGCACAAGCUAAUGGUCUACAAUGAUGGAGAACUCGUCAAUGGAUGUCCUUAUUACUUCAGAGUCUUACCUCCGUUAACCAAAAUCAAAUCUCCUGGCAUGGAUCCAUGCGGUAUUGGAUCUAUUGUCGAGGUUCUAGUCAACAGUUACGGAACUAGUCAUGACGGCAUUGACGUAACAGCUUGGUCUCCAACGGGUAGAUCUCUUCCUUGUCCAGUCAAAGAAAAUGGUGGAGUCCAUACAGCUACGUUUCAACCUGAUGAAACAGGCGAGUGGAGUAUUGCAAUUACUCAUAAAGGAACUCACAUUCAAGGAGGUCCAUUCACCUGCUUCGUUUUUGAUCCCAACGGAAUAAAGUUGGUUGACACAGAAGGAGCAAUACCAGGUCAGCCAUUUUCAUUUAUCGUCGAUGCAACAGGAACAGGCGGCCUGGGUGACGUAAACAUUGACAUCGUCCAUGACAAGCAAUCAGUGCCUUUUCGAAUGGAAGAUAUUGGUCGGAUGAGGUAUCGUGUAUUCAUGGUACCGAGAGAAUCUGGAAAAUAUCGUGUAUAUCUUUACUUCAACGGUUCAGAUGUAAGAGGAUCUCCAAUCUCCAUUCGUGUUGGUUCUCAUAGAAGCAGAAGAUCUAAAGAAUCAUCUAGCUAUGAAAGGUCAAAAAUUUCAUCAUUAGAAAAGCGAAUGAAUGGAUUAAAUAUGACAGAUCAUUCUGGAAUCAAUCAGAAACGACAUUCGCCAGUAUACAAAAACAGCUCUCACAGUCCUACUCAAAAUUAUCGAGAUUAUUCCCAUCACCAAUCGUCUUAUAAGACUUCAAAUUAUAUUACAGAAAAUUCUUCAUCUUCUUAUCAAGUCCCAAGUCCUUUAACAGCUUCCAGAUCUCCAGUUCAGAAUUCCAGUCCAUCUCUAAUAAAAGAAUCACGUGAAAUUUAUUCCUCUAGUACAUUUAAUAGAUCAAGGUCUCCAAAUAUCAAUCAGAGUCCUAGUCUAAUCAAAGAAUCUAAGGAUAUUUAUGCAUCGAGUUCAUUAAAUCGAUCGAGAUCACCAAACAUCAGAGAAACUCGAGAGUCUCAGACCUCGAGUGUUAUUAAAGAAUCAAAAGAUAUCUAUCAAUCGAGUACGUUGAACCGAUCACGAUCGCCAGGUGUCAGUCCUAUGGCUUACCGGAGUAAUGGAAGUCCAAUUAAUAGGAGUUUUAGUCCUAGAGUUAAUGGAAAGAGACGAGGAUCAGCGGAUAGUGGGGUUAUUGAUACCAGCUCUAAUGUUAGAGUAUCAUCUACUCUUGGUGGAACGCCGAGGAGAGACUCUUGGGACGCAAUCACCAAGACAAAAGCGAUGUUAUCGUACGGAAGUCUCGAAUCACUCGCAAAUCUAGCCAACAGCUCUCUAGAUCACACGACUACUAACUUUAUAAAUGACAAUAAUUACCGAAAUGGUUACGAUAAAUAUAAUUCUUCGAAUGUUGAAAGAUCUCAUGUGGAAAAUUCAAAAAACUACAUGUCUCAGCGAUACACGAGUGAUUAUCGGUCUUCCUCACCAAAGUAUAAUGGAGGAAUCGUAUCAGAAAAUCAGAAUGGCCGAAGUCAAACUCAUGGAAUUUUGAAAAAUAGAAAUAACAAUUAUUAUAAAUCUUCUGAUACUACAGAUGCGAUUCAUGAACGAUUUAUCAACAGUGAAUCAUCUUUUAUGUCAACUCAAGAACGUCGAAAAGGAUCGUCGGCGGCUUUCGGAACAGCUCUUGAUGUUCUACCACUUCAUAAACCUACUUCUUUUACUUUGGAUUCUAGUAUAGAUGGAAGUAAAGCUGUUGUUACAGUUACCGGACCAAAUGGGAAGCAAGUACCUUAUCAAAAGUCAACUCUCAGAGGCUAUACGUAUACUAUAACAGCUGAUGAAGUUGGAGAACACACCAUUCAAGUUACUAUUAAUGGUCAACACAUCAAAGGAUCACCAUUUAGGUCUCAAGCUUAUGAUGCAACGGCAAUCCGAGUAGAAAAUGUUCCGGAUGGCGUCGUCAAUCAACCCGUCGAAUUCGAAAUUGAUGGUUCCAGAGCUGGCUCAGGGAACCUCGAAAUAUUGGUGAACGGUGGCCAUGUAACAAGUUUCGUUAAAGCACUGGGUAGUCAUCGUUUCUUGGCGUCUUUUGUACCUCAUGAGGCUGUAACUCAUCUCGUUGAGAUGACGUUUAAUGGCGAAACGGUGCCAGGAUCACCUUGGAGAGUGGGCAUCAUGCCGGGACCGAAAAUGUCGGUCCUUGGGGACUCAGUAAGGCUUGUACCUGCUGGAAGUCCUGCCCUUUUUGAACUCUCCGCCCUGGGUUUCACAAGUAAAGAGAUUGAUGUGCAGAUAAUAACUCCAUCAAAGAAACAUAUAAAUGCACGAAUUGAUGAGGAACCAGGGCGUCCAGGUGAGUUCCGUGUGGAAUUUACUCCAACAGAGGUCGGAAGUCAUCUGGUCGAGGUGAGCAUCGCGGGACAAAAGCUACCGGCUGGUCCACUUAUCGCCAAAGUCUACAACAGCAGCCUUAUUCAAGUUACUGAUGUACCCAGUGCCGUAGUUGGCCAUGCCUGUCAAUUUAGAGUUGAUGCCAGUGCAGCUGGCGAAGGCCAGUUAGAAAUAUCUAUUAAUGAAGGUGAAGUGCCGAACCAUGUUCAAGUAGUUGGAGGAGGUCGUUGUCUUGUAUCAUUCACUCCAGAAGCUGCUAAACCUCACUAUAUUGAUAUAAAAUUUAACGGUGAAGCUGUACCAGGAUGUCCUUUUGUUUGCAACGUUUCUGAUACUAGCAGAGUCACAUUAAGCCUAAAUCAUCUAGAAUUAAUACCCGUGGAUCAACCAGCCAGCUUCCAUAUGGCAGUUGAUGGUAGUGGUAGUGCAGAACUUGCAGUUUCUGUUCGAGGACCAACGAUAGAGUUGCCCGUAAAGGUAACAGGCAACAUCCACAGCGGAUUCACAGCAGAAUUUACACCAAGAGACGUAGGAGUACAUUCGAUAAGUGUAGAGUACAACGGGCAUCCUGUAAAUGGAACGCCUUUCCUUGCGAAAGCUUUCAAUGCUGAUAAAGUCAUCAUUGGACCCGUUGCACGAGGCAGCGUUGGACAACCUACUCACUUCACCGUGGAUGCAAGUCAAGCUGGCGAGGGAAAUCUAGAGAUCACGAUCUCAGCCCGAGGUCAAAAUAUCCCCACUCAAGUGACUCCCCAGGGCAAUGCACGAUUUUCCGUGAGCUUCGUGCCCUUCGAGGCAUGCGAACAUGUAAUAAAUAUUGCGUUUAACAAACGCACUGUCCCAGGUUGCCCGAUAAUUACAAGGGUGGGUGGCGACAGUCAUGUUACUGUCAGUGGACAGGCAUUAAGUAGCGUUGGCUUGGGACGUCAGAGUCAUCUGACUGUCAGUAAUGUUUCCGGUAGCUUGGAAGACUUAGAAGUUAACGUUGAAGGUCGGCCAGCUUUCAGACUACGACACUACUAGACUUAUUAUUUUCUACAAAAAAUCAUCUAUUGAGACUAACUUUAAUUUUGUGGAUACGAAAUAUAAUUGGUGGACCCAAUGGACAGGCCGUACCAGCUCAAGUCACCGACAAUAAAGACACGACCUGCAGUGUUGCGUUUACACCUCGUGUUGUUGGUGAACAUAGAAUUUCUGUCAGCCAUCGAAACGUUCCGGUG
rnacentral:misc_RNA from 1 species